UUCCCUAGUAGCGGCGAGCGAGCGGGAAGAGCUCAAAUUUAUAAUCUGGCACCUUCGGUGUCCGAGUUGUAAUCUCUAGAAAUGUUUUCCGCGUUGGACCGCACACAAGUCUGUUGGAAUACAGCGGCAUAGUGGUGAGACCCCCGUAUAUGGUGCGGACGCCCAGCGCUUUGUGAUACAUUUUCGAAGAGUCGAGUUGUUUGGGAAUGCAGCUCAAAUUGGGUGGUAAAUUCCAUCUAAAGCUAAAUAUUGGCGAGAGACCGAUAGCGAACAAGUACCGUGAGGGAAAGAUGAAAAGCACUUUGGAAAGAGAGUUAACAGUACGUGAAAUUGUUGGAAGGGAAACGCUUGAAGUCAGACUUGCUUGCCGAGCAAUCGGUUUGCAGGCCAGCAUCAGUUUUCCGGGAUGGAUAAUGGUAAAGAGAAGGUAGCAGUUUCGGCUGUGUUAUAGCUCUCUACUGGAUACAUCCUGGGGGACUGAGGAACGCAGUGUGCCUUUGGCGGGGGUUUCGACCUCUUCACACUUAGGAUGCUGGUGGAAUGGCUUUAAACGACCCGUCUUGAAACACGGACCC
rnacentral:rRNA from 1 species